rnacentral:rRNA from 1 species
GUUGUCGUCAGCUCGUGUCGUGAGAUGUUGGGUUAAGUCCCGCAACGAGCGCAACCCUUAAGCUUAGUUGCCAUCAUUAAGUUGGGCACUCUAAGUUGACUGCCGGUGACAAACCGGAGGAAGGUGGGGAUGACGUCAAAUCAUCAUGCCCCUUAUGAUUUGGGCUACACACGUGCUACAAUGGACAAUACAAAGGGCAGCGAAACCGCGAGGUCAAGCAAAUCCCAUAAAGUUGUUCUCAGUUCGGAUUGUAGUCUGCAACUCGACUACAUGAAGCUGGAAUCGCUAGUAAUCGUAGAUCAGCAUGCUACGGUGAAUACGUUCCCGGGUCUUGUACACACCGCCCGUCACACCACGAGAGUUUGUAACACCCGAAGCCGGUGGAGUAACCUUUUAGGAGCUAGCCGUCGAAGGUGGGACAAAUGAUUGGGGUGAAGUCGUAACAAGGUAGCC